rnacentral:rRNA from 1 species
UGGGGAAUAUUGGACAAUGGGCGAAAGCCUGAUCCAGCAAUGCCGCGUGAGUGAUGAAGGCCUUAGGGUUGUAAAGCUCUUUUACCAGGGAUGAUAAUGACAGUACCUGGAGAAUAAGCUCCGGCUAACUCCGUGCCAGCAGCCGCGGUAAUACGGAGGGAGCUAGCGUUGUUCGGAAUUACUGGGCGUAAAGCGUACGUAGGCGGUUAUUCAAGUCAGGGGUGAAAGCCUGGAGCUCAACUCCAGAACUGCCCUUGAAACUAGAUAGCUAGAAUCUUGGAGAGGUGAGUGGAAUUCCGAGUGUAGAGGUGAAAUUCGUAGAUAUUCGGAAGAACACCAGUGGCGAAGGCGACUCACUGGACAAGUAUUGACGCUGAGGUACGAAAGCGUGGGGAGCAAACAGGAUUAGAUACCCUCGUAGUCCCUGAGCGGGCUGGCAAGGCGCAU